rnacentral:tRNA from 4 species
GCGGAUGUGGCGCAGUGGUAGCGCACAACCUUGCCAAGGUUGGGGUCGCGAGUUCGAAUCUCGUCAUCCGCUCGA